rnacentral:rRNA from 1 species
AAUUAACUUCGGUUAAUUUUAGUGGCGGACGGGUGAGUAACACGUGAGAAUUCGCCUUUAGGAGGGGGAUAACGGAUGGAAACAUUCGCUAAAACCCCAUAUGCCCCUGGGUGAAACAGAGGAGAUAAGUAAUACUGACUCUUACCUCUGCCUGAAGAGAAGCUCGCGGCUGAUUAGCUAGUUGGUAGGGUAAAGGCCUACCAAGGCGACGAUCAGUAGCUGGUCUGAGAGGACGAUCAGCCACACUGGAACUGAGACACGGUCCAGACUCCUACGGGAGGCAGCAGUGAGGAAUUUUCUGCAAUGGGCGAAAGCCUGACAGAGCAAUACCGCGUGAGGGAUGAAGACUUACUGAGUUGUAAACCUCGGUACCUUAAGGAAGAAGAUCUGACGGUACUUAAGGUGGAAAGCAUCGGCUAACUCCGUGCCAGCAGCCGCGGUAAGACGGGGGAUGCAAGUGUUAUCCGGAUUUACUGGGCGUAAAGCGUCUGCAGGUGGUUUUCUAAGUCUACUGUUAAAUCUUGAGGCUCAACCUCAAAUCUGCAGUAGAAACUAGAAGACUUGAGUAUAGUAGGGGUAGAGGGAAUUUCCAGUGGAGCGGUGAAAUGCGUAGAUAUUGGAAAGAACACCGAUGGCGAAGGCACUCUACUGGGCUAUUACUGACACUCAGAGACGAAAGCUAGGGGAGCAAAUGGGAUUAGAUACCCCAGUAGUCCUAGCCGUAAACGAUGGAUACUCGAUGUUGGACGUAUCAACCCGUUCAGUAUCUUAGCUAACGCGUUAAGUAUCCCGCCUGGGGAGUACGCUCGCAAGAGUGAAACUCAAAGGGAAUUGACGGGGGGCCCCGCACAAGCGGUGGAGGGAUGUGGUUUUAAUUCCGAUGCCACGGCGAAAGAAACCUUUACCAGGGUUUGCUAGAAGUGUUUGGGUUUUCUGAAAAGAAUUCCCUUAUUCCGCUUCUACAAGGUGGUGCA